rnacentral:rRNA from 1 species
CGUAGGGAGCAAGCGUUGUCCGGAAUCAUUGGGCGUAAAGCGCGCGUAGGUGGCCACAUAAGUCCGUUGUGAAAGUCAAAGGCUCAACCUUUGAAAGCCGAUGGAUACUGUGUGGCUAGAGUACGGAAGAGGCGAGUGGAAUUCCUGGUGUAGCGGUGGAAUGCGCAGAUAUCAGGAGGAACACCAAUAGCGAAGGCAGCUCGCUGGGACGUUACUGACACUGAGGCGCGAAAGCGUGGGGAGCGAACAGGAUU